rnacentral:tRNA from 1 species
GACCGCGCAGCUCAGUUGGCAGAGCAUGCAUUGGGCUAGUAUUCCAAAGGUCGUAGGUUCGAUUUCCACCGUGGUCA